rnacentral:rRNA from 1 species
GUGCCAGCAGCCGCGGUAAGACGUAGGGGGCGAGCGUUGUCCGGAUUCAUUGGGCGUAAAGCGCGCGUAGGCGGCCCGGUAAGUCGGAUGUGAAAUCUCACGGCUCAACCGUGGAACUGCAUUCGAAACUGUCGGGCUAGAGGCAGGUAGGGGAGAUCGGAAUUCCCGGUGUAGCGGUGAAAUGCGCAGAUAUCGGGAGGAACACCGGUGGCGAAGGCGGAUCUCUGGGCCUGUCCUGACGCUCAGGCGCGAAAGCUAGGGGAGCAAACAGGAUUAGAAACCCUUGUAGUCC